rnacentral:rRNA from 1 species
CCUACGGGUGGCUGCAGUGAGGAAUAUUGGUCAAUGGGCGCGAGCCUGAACCAGCCAAGUCGCGUGAGGGAUGAAGGUUCUAUGGAUCGUAAACCUCUUUUAUAAGGGAAUAAAGUGUGGGACGUGUCCUUUUUUGUAUGUACCUUAUGAAUAAGGAUCGGCUAACUCCGUGCCAGCAGCCGCGGUAAUACGGAGGAUCCGAGCGUUAUCCGGAUUUAUUGGGUUUAAAGGGUGCGUAGGCGGCCUUUUAAGUCAGCGGUGAAAGUCUGUGGCUCAACCAUAGAAUUGCCGUUGAAACUGGGGGGCUUGAGUAUGUUUGAGGCAGGGGGAAUGCGUGGGGUAGCGGUGAAAUGCUUAGAUAUCACGCAGAACCCCGAUUGCGAAGGCAGCCUGACAAGCGAUGACUGACGCUGAUGCACGAAAGCGUGGGGAUCAAACAGGAUUAGAUACCCCUGUAGUC